rnacentral:rRNA from 1 species
AGUCAAUAGAUACCCUGGUAGUCCAUGCCGUAAACGAUGAUUGCUAGGUGUGGGGGGUCUGACCCCUUCCGUGCCGGAGUUAAACACAAUAAGCAAUCCACCUGGGGAGUACGGCCGCAAGGUUGAAACUCAAAGGAAUUGACGGGGGCCCGCACAAGCAGUGGAGUAUGUGGUUUAAAUUCGAAGCAACGCGAAGAACCUUACCAGGUCUUGACAUCCACCGAAUCCUGUAGAGAUACGGGAGUGCCCUUCGGGGAACGGUGAGACAGGUGGUGCAUGGUUGUCGUCGGCUCGUGUCGUGAGAUGUUGGGUUAAGUCCCGCAACGAGCGCAACCCUUGUGAAUAGUUGCUACGAAAGAGCACUCUAUUCAGACCGCCGUUGACAAAACGGAGGAAGGUGGGGAUGACGUCAAAUCAUCAUGCCCCUUAUGACCUGGGCUACACACGUACUACAAUGGUCGUCAACAGAGGGAAGCAAGACCGCGAGGUGGAGCGAACCCCUAAAAACGAUCUCAGUUCAGAUUGCAGGCUGAAACUCG